AACGCAAGUUGCGCCCAAGGGCAUUGUCCAAGGGCAUUUCCGCUAGAGCGUCACCGCGCCCCCCACCGAUCCACUCCCCGCCGUGGGAGUUCUCGAGUGAAAGUGGUCAUCCCGGUGGCUUGUGAAGGCUUAAGGGUUGGCUGAAAUGGAGGGAAUUGGGCCGCCGUGGUGACACAGUCCGCGAUCGGGUGAUCCGAGCUCCUCCGGGAGCCCGGAAUUUUUCUAAGUGCGUGGCUGUGUCCCCCAGUUGGUCGUGGUUACCUCAUGCAGGUCGAGCGCGCCCCCCGCGGCGCGCGUCACGCAUCAGACCUCUAAUCGGAAAAGACUACCCGCUGAGUUUAA
rnacentral:misc_RNA from 1 species